rnacentral:tRNA from 1 species
GUCAGUGCCCACUGGUAGCGCGGACUGUAAAUCUGCCGGCUCAGCCUUCCCAGGUUCGAAUCCUGGCGCCGCCA